AGUGGUAACUUUAGUUCCAGGCUGUAUUCUAUUAUAUCUUAGUGAGGUUCUGUGGUAACUUUAGUUCCAGACUGUAUUCUAUUCUAUCUUAGUGAGGUUCUGUGGUAACUUUAGUUCCAGACUGUAUUCUAUUCUAUCUUAGUGCGGUGCUGUGGUAAUUUUAGUUCCAGAAUGUAUUCUAUUCUAUCUUAGUGAGGUGCUGUGGUAACUUUAGUUCCAGAAUGUAUUCUAUUCUAUCUUAGUGAGGUGCUGUGGAGUGGUAACUUUAGUUCCAGGCUGUAUUCUAUUAUAUCUUAGUGAGGUUCUGUGGUAACUUUAGUUCCAGACUGUAUUCUAUUCUAUCUUAGUGAGGUUCUGUGGUAACUUUAGUUCCAGACUGUAUUCUAUUCUAUCUUAGUGCGGUGCUGUGGUAAUUUUAGUUCCAGAAUGUAUUCUAUUCUAUCUUAGUGAGGUGCUGUGGUAACUUUAGUUCCAGAAUGUAUUCUAUUCUAUCUUAGUGAGGUGCUGUGGAGUGGUAACUUUAGUUCCAGGCUGUAUUCUAUUAUAUCUUAGUGAGGUUCUGUGGUAACUUUAGUUCCAGACUGUAUUCUAUUCUAUCUUAGUGAG